rnacentral:rRNA from 1 species
AUGCAAGUCGAUCGGUAACGCGGGGGCAACCCUGGCGACGAGAGGCGGACGGGUGAGGAACGCUUGGGAAUCUGCCCAUCAGCGGGGGACAACCCGGGGAAACCCGGGCUAAUACCGCAUACGCUCUACGGAGGAAAGCCGGGGGACCGCAAGGCCUGGCACUGAUGGAUGAGCCCAAGUCGGAUUAGCUAGUUGGCGGGGUAACGGCCCACCAAGGCGACGAUCCGUAGCUGGUCUGAGAGGACGAUCAGCCACACUGGGACUGAGACACGGCCCAGACUCC